GCCGACUUCUGAUUAUGUAGAGUUGGUUGUAGCUGGCUCCCUUGUUUUUUUUCUUUGGGGUGUUGUGCACUUCUUCUCUUUCCUCCACACACCCGUGUGCCCCUGUGAUAGAGGUGUUUGGGGACUUUGAUGCACCCUCUUCUGUCUACUUUCUUCUUAUAACAUCUAUUUUAUUUACAACUAAUGUGAUGGAUGUAACGCAUCUAAUACUAAUUUUCAACAACGGAUCUGUUGGUUCUCGCAUCGAUGAACAACGCAGCGAACUGCAAUAAAUGAUGUGAAUUGAAUACUUCGAUGCAUCAUCUCAUCUUUGACCCCUCCUUGCCCUCCUUGUUAUUCCUUGGAUGAUGGCUGUAUGAGUAUCAUGACAUCUUCAAAGAAAAUCUUUUGUUAAUUCUGUUGGCUUCUACUUUGGUAUUGGAGGUUAUUGCUUCUUCACUGCUGCUCCUCUUUGUGCAUUAGCUGGAUCUCAGUGUUAUGCUUGGCUCCACUCAGCAUGAUAAAUUAUCUAUCGAUGACGACACUGUAGAAGGUGGCCAAAGUAAAUGAUGAUGAACCGCUUCUAAUAGACUAUUGACUUGGACAAAAUUAAAUUUUAUAUGAUCUGAUCACAUAUCGUGGGAGACUACCCGCUGAUCUUAAACAUAUCAAUAACGCGGGGAAAA
rnacentral:rRNA from 1 species